rnacentral:rRNA from 1 species
CGCGUAGGCGGCCUGUUAAGUCAGAUGUGAGAGCCCCGGGCUCAACCUGGGAAUUGCAUUUGAUACUGGCAGGCUAGAGUGUGGUAGAGGGAAGUGGAAUUCCGGGUGUAGCGGUGAAAUGCGUAGAUAUCCGGAGGAACACCAGUGGCGAAGGCGGCUUCCUGGACCAACACUGACGCUGAGGUGCGAAAGCGUGGGGAGCAAACA